ACGUUAAUGUGGCUGUAUGUGUGGGUGCACACACAUACACUAGUCCCAAGCCUAGGUAAACACAGAGGGAUUG
rnacentral:ribozyme from 2 species